GCGUGCGUGUGUGUGUGUGAGUGCGCACGACUGUGUGAAUUUGUGUAGAGUGGGGGGUGGAUGCAUGUGGGAAUGUGGUUUCUUGUUUAUCUAUCUAGCUGUGCAGAAGGCGCGAGAGGGAGUGAGGGAGGGAAUCAGGGAGGUAAGGAGAGAGGGAGGAAAAAGAGAGAGAUUUGUGAGCUACUUGUACAAACUCCUGGCUGAGGCCCCACUGGCGGCAGGGAGAUCGGACUGAAAGAGUGCAUGGCAGGAUUGUGCUUCAGUGUGUGUUUGUGCAUGUGUCUGGGUGAGACAACCAGAGAGAGGAGCAUUCAACCCAUUUCACCCACACUGGCCAGUUUAUUUUUUUACCCCUGAAUAUGGAAGUGUUUCCUCCUUUCUACCAUCCAGCUACCCUAGAUUGCUGUUGCCCAACUUUUGGUCCAACUGCCGGCUGAAUGAGAGAGAAACGAGUGGCGCUCAUAGUUUUGAAGAAGGUGGGGAUGAAGAUAAAAAGACGAGCAAGUUUACCACCAUAUCUGGAGAGCUAUUUUAAGGAAAUCCAAGCCUCUGCAUCAUCAUCUUCCUCAUUCCUUUUGGUUUCCUGUCAACGUCAUUUAAACCUCAACGCGAGCAUGGGUGGUAACACACUUUGGCACAUGGGUUACCCACUCAGGCCAAGAGAAACACACAAGCACAAAGAUAAACAGUACUUAAGUUUGAAGGCUUCCAUUUCUAAACGACUGAUGAAAGCUGAGGGGAACCUAAAUCACAGAAAGAACUGAUACCAUGGCAAAUUUACAAACACUGCAUAAUUUAAAUCUGGAACUGCAGACAUUUUAAAACACGGGGUCUGGGUGGCAACCAACAGACUAUUGUGGGAUUUUCCACUUCGUCUGAGACAAACUGAAGCUACUACAAGAACUUAGGGACUAAUGGAAAUAAACUCAGUAGCACUUUUUGAUGUGUCUCAAAUAUUGUGUGUGUUAAAUUCAUAAGGCCAGUUAAACAUCUGCCAUCGAUCAAACGGCAAUGGUGAGGCCCAAAAUCUGUCUCAGUGUCCACGGUGAACAUUCAACGCUGUCGGUGAGUUUGAACUCCGCAAAAACCAUCGACCGUUGACUGUACCCUGAGGGACACCACAGCGCACGUUCCAUUAUCUUCAUAAAAUAUACAUCUGGGAGCAUUUCACUCAUAGUGUGAGCCUGCUGAAGAUGAAUUUAUUUUGGGGGGGCCCAGACGUUUUGGCUGUACCUGUAAAUGCUGCAAUAAACAUUCAUUGCUGUCGGUGGGUUUACAUGAGAAUAACUCACUGAUCAAUGAAUGCAAACUGCGGUAAAAUGUCUCAGAGAGCCUGAUCCACCACUGAGGAGAUGACACUGAACAAAUAUGGUGAUAAUGGGUGAUAAUAAAAACAAUAUCGAUAAAAGAAAUGAGAAUAUAGUGGUGCUCAUAUAUAAAAAUUUAAAUAUAUAACUUGAUUGAGAUCAAUGAUAUUUGCUUUUACUCAGACAUGCAAACUCCAAAGGCUUGAAAAAGGUGACCAAAAAAAAAAAACAUUGUAGGGAGGGUCUGGGGGGGAUUCCCCCCCCCCCCCCCCCAUACAUGCAUAAAAUAAAAAAAUAUAUUUUCUUUUUAUUUUAACGUAAACUAAGCAAUCUAGAAGACUGAAGAGUACAAUAAGGCAAAAAAUAGAAAUACAAAUUCCUCACGCAGAAAAACUUAGUUACACCGCUCAAGUACAUGUUGAUGUACAAAUUUAAGAUAAAAAUUAAAUUUGCCACACUUCUUUGCUUUUUUGUUCUGGCCUCCAACUUGAGCCAGGCCCAUCUCCACCUGCACCUGAUGCCUGCUUCAAGCUGUGCCACACGAAUAGCAUCCUCUUCUUUAAGCACUCUCAUUCUCGAAAAGAAUUGACUAAAAUCAGUCUGUUUCACUUCAUUUUUCACUAUUAGCACUAUUACCAACUUCAAAGGCUAAUCCCAAAUGCCUCCUCCAGGAAAAUAUUAAGCACAAUAUUUUUCUGUUUUUAUUGGCCAUUUCUGAAUUUGAAGUUAGUUCAUUCUGUGUUGUGACAUAAUCCCUGACAUCGCUCCGUCGCUUAACACAUUUAACAUUUUCAUAUGUAAACUAAAUAGAUAAUUAUAGCCGCGUUUCCUAAUUAAUACGAAAUGUACUCGCGUAUCAACUCUUAUCGCUGAUGUUACGGGUGCUUCGUGGUUCCGCUGGGACGACAACCAGGGCCAGGACCUGCAGCACCUCAACGCGAAAAUACAAAAGACCAGUGUAACAAAUACGACACUGGGUGAUCUGAUGAGCAAAAAUUUUGUUUAAACGUAAGAGUAGCAAGAGAGGAUGUCCGCUCCAGAGAUGGGCAGAGUAGCAAACCAUUGUACUCAAGUAAGAGUACUGUUACUUGACAAUAAUGUGACUCAAGUAAAAAGUAGUCCUCCAAAAAAUUACUUAGGAGUAAAAAGUACACAGUGAGAUAAUUACUCAAGUACUGAGUAAAUCAUGAGUAACUUCUGAGUUUUGUAACCACAGCAUAAACAUCAAUAAAAACAAUUACAAAAUACAAUUCUGAUGAUGUUGUGUGUGUGUGUGUGUGUGUGCACAAUCAAAACUACAACAAAACGUGCAAUUGCACGGUGAUUUCUCAAGUUAUACGUGAGAUGAAAUAUCCAUGUUUGGGCAGACAGUGCCAGACAUAUACGACAAUACAUGAAAGCUGUUGCUUUUGUUCGUCUAAAUGUAAACAUGAGUAGCGCGCCAUUGCCUUCAUGGUAACGACGACCUUCCCAACAUGACCGCCACGUAGGUACGACAGUUAGGUUGGCUGUCUUAUCUAGUGUUAAUACCUAUGCCCGGGAAGCCCAAUAGAAGACGUUGUGUGAGGUCAUGUGACUUUCUUGUGUCGUUUGAUUGGUGAACUAGACUUAAACGUCACUAGCGCUUAAACUGGUUUGGCGCCAACAGUCGAAGUCGUAGUCUCGCGCAUGAAAUGGUUGAUAAAUAAGCAAUAAUUGUAAAUAAAAGUAGCGAGCGACAUUUCGAUCAUUGUAACGGAGUAAAAGUACCGUUAAUUCUUAACAGCAGAAGUGGCAGAAGUGUUUUUUCUAGUGUUCAAGGAGUACAAAACAGCCUAUGACAACAGCGACAGCGACCCCCCGCCCAGGAAAAACUCUAUAGCUCGGAUCUAUACGAUUCACGUAUAAUAAUCUAACAAUAAAUAACUAACCAUCAUUCUCAAUGACUAUAUAACCACAAUAUUCUUGAUAUUUUACUUAAAUCAAUUAGAACUGAGACUGUUGCAGUUAUUACUGUUUUUAUUUUUUCCUGUAGUUUUGUAUUGACUACAUAAUCAUUAAAGGCGCCCUGUGGGUUAUUCUGGUUAGUAAUGCUGUCAGCUAACCUGCACAAGGUGUAAAUAGUCAACUGCAAAAGAUGCGUGCGUGUGUAAGUCUUGCAUUAAGGCAACAAAUAUACAAAAUCCAUUGCCGAAAAACAUUCCCAAAUUUCAUUUCCAAACAUCAUGAUGUCAUGCCCAAGAGCUACUGUUGAGGCAGAAAAUGUACAUUUAGCACAGGCUUUCCCCCCCUGCAUUUACAAAUAUAUACAAAACACAUCGUGUGCUGUAAUAUAAAAAGAUACAAAAAAAACACAAACAGUGUGUUGUGAUAAGAAUCUGAACCUGUAAAACAUAAAUAUUUUGUAUGUACCUGCAUGGGGGACAUAUAGACAUGGAAAUAAUCUUCGACUAAUUACUUCAUAAGGCUUCAUAAACUAUGGAGAGAGAAAAAAAAAAAUCAAACAUAGCCCAGUCGUGGCAGAUCCUACAUAGCAUUUUCUCUUUUUUCCCCCUGUUUAUUAAUUUAUUAAUAGAAACAAACUGUAAAUUUGGUAAAAACCCAGCAUCACGUUUUCAGUAACGUAAAAUAAUUUUUGCAAAUAAUGAAUUUGACUUAGUGAAAUUGCAACACAGGAAAGUCAUACAACUGUGAAACUGUGUGACAAGAGAUACUAUUUGCUACAUACAUCAGGGCCACACAAAAGUCUGCUUGUUUAUCCCCAUGGAGUUGCAGCUUUGUCCUCACAAAUUCUGAGGUUAUAGGCACUGACACUGGGAACAGCCUGACCCACUUCUCGCUAACCUGGAAACGCUCCGCAGGCUGACCCCGAGUCGAACACCAAGCAAGCAAAAGAGUUGGGUGAAUAAAAUCUAGGGUAAUCAUGAAUUAUUAAAGGCUGAAAUCAUAGGGAAGCAUGGGGGCUAACAGCAAUAGUUCCAACACACUGCUUUAUGCCAUAUUUCACAGACAAGUAGACACGAAGAGACAACAAUGAGAGCAGAAUCAAAUAUCAUUACUCAAUUAAAAUUCACUUUUGAGGAAAAAAAAAAAAAAAAAAAAAAGAACGGUCAAGAGAAAAUCUGUGUAAAAUCUUUGAGUGCUCUGCUGCUUUGCGCCCAGGAAAAUGAAAACCUGGUGAUCU